rnacentral:rRNA from 1 species
UGUGUCCUACGGGAGGCAGCAGUGGGGAAUAUUGCGCAAUGGGCGAAAGCCUGACGCAGCGACGCCGCGUGAGGGAUGAAGGUCUUCGGAUCGUAAACCUCUGUCAGGAGGGAAGAAGUGGUUAUAUGCGAAUAGUGUAUGACUUUGAAGGUACCUCCAAAGGAAGCACCGGCUAACUCCGUGCCAGCAGCCGCGGUAAUACGGAGGGUGCGAGCGUUAAUCGGAAUCACUGGGCGUAAAGCGCGCGU